AUUGAACGCUGGCGGCAUGCCUUACACAUGCAAGUCGAACGGCAGCACGGGUGCUUGCACCUGGUGGCGAGUGGCGAACGGGUGAGUAAUAUAUCGGAACGUACCUUAUUGUGGGGGAUAACGCAGCGAAAGCUGUGCUAAUACCGCAUAAUCCCUAAGGGGGAAAGCGGGGGACCGUAAGGCCUCGCGCAAUUAGAGCGGCCGAUACCUGAUUAGCUAGUUGGUGAGGUAAAGGCUCACCAAGGCAACGAUCAGUAGCUGGUCUGAGAGGACGAUCAGCCACACUGGGACUGGGACACGGCCCAGACUCCUACGGGAGGCAGCAGUGGGGAAGUUUGGACAAUGGGGGCAACCCUGAUCCAGCAAUGCCGCGUGAGUGAAGAAGGCCUUCGGGUUGUAAAGCUCUUUUGUCAGGGAAGAAACAGCAGCUCUAACACAGUAUGCGAAUGACGGUACCUGAAGAAUAAGCACCGGCUAACUACGUGCCAGCAGCCGCGGUAA
rnacentral:rRNA from 1 species